UACGAAGGGGGCUAGCGUUGCUCGGAAUCACUGGGCGUAAAGGGUGCGUAGGCGGGGCCUUAAGUCAGGGGUGAAAUCCUGGAGCUCAACUCCAGAACUGCCUUUGAUACUGAAGAUCUUGAGUCCGGGAGAGGUGAGUGGAACUGCGAGUGUAGAGGUGAAAUUCGUAGAUAUUCGCAAGAACACCAGUGGCGAAGGCGGCUCACUGGCCCGGUACUGACGCUGAGGCACGAAAGCGUGGGGAGCAAACAGG
rnacentral:rRNA from 1 species